rnacentral:tRNA from 1 species
GGAUUGUAGCUCAGUGGUAAAGUGCUGGCCUAGCAUGAGUGAGGCCCUGGGUUUGAUUCUCAGCACCA